UCAACCACAAUCUCCACCUACAGCCUCUGCCAGCAUCCUGCAGCUUCCUCCACCUCCAGAUUCUGGCAGACAGCUGUAGCCCAAACCUGCUCCUACAGCCUCUGCCAACAUUCUGCAGCUUCCUCCACCUGCAGAUUCUGGCAGACAGCUGAGGCAUCAUUCUUCUUCUGCCACCAACCUACACCCCCUCCAUCUACAGCCUCUGCCAGCAACCUGCAGCCGUGGCCUCCACCUGCAGAUUCUCUUAGACAGCCUAAGCCUCAACCUCCACCUACAGCCUCCGCCAACAUCCUGCAGCUCCCUCCACCUGCAGAUUUAGGCAGACAGCUGAGGCCUCAUCCUCCACUUGAAACGUGAACCUCCACGUACAGCUUCCUCCAGCAUCCUGCACCUCCUCCUCCAACUGUGGAUUCCGUCCUCUACUUACAUUCUCUUCCAGCAACCUGCAGCAACUGCUUCCACCUGCAAAUUCUUGCAGAGUGCUGCAACCAAUUUCUCCACCUACAGGCGCUUCCGUCUCCUGCCUGCAACCUCUGCCAGCAACUGGCACCUCCUCCUCCACCUACAGAUUCUGGCAGACAACUGAGGCCUCAACCUUCAUCUACAGCCUCUGUCAGCAUCCUGCAGCUUCCUCCACCUGCAGAUUCUGGCAGACAGCUGGGGCCUGAACCUACACCAACAGCCUCUGCCAGCAACCUGCACCUCCUCCUCCUCUGCCUCUGGAUUCUGUCGGACAUCUGCAAUCCAAAGCUCCACCUAUAGCCUCUUCCAGCAACCUGCAGCAACCACCUCCACCUGCAGAUUUUUGCAGAUAGCUGCAACCGAUUCUUCCAUCUCCUGCCUGCAGCUUCUGCCAGCAACCUACACUGCCUCAUCCGCCUGAAGAUUCUGAAGUGCAAACGUCCGUCUCCAUCCUCUGCCAACAACCUGCACUGCUACCUCCACCUGCACAUUUGUGAAGACAUCUACAGCCCGAAGCUCUACCUACAGUCUUCUCCAGCAACCUGCAGCUUCCUCCACCUGCAGAUUCUUGCAGACAGCUAAGUGACCCCCACCUCAUACCUCCACCAGCAACCAUCUUCUCCCGCCUCCACCUGCAGAUUCUUGCAGACAGCCAUUCCCAGACCUCCACCUAUGACUUUUGCCAGCAUCCUGCAGCACCGACCUCCACCUGCAGUUUCUGGCAGACCACCAGAACUUGAACCUCCACCUACAGUCUCAUUCAGCAACCUUCACUGCUAACUCCACCUACAGUCUCUGCAAGCAGCCUGCAAUCUCUGCUUCCACAUGCAGAUUAUGCCAAAGAGAUGCAGCUCAACCUCCACAUCCAGCUUCCUACUGCUCCUGCCUUCAGCUUAUAACAACAACCUAUAGCCACAUGUGCUCACUCUGGCAGGCAUAUGUAGCCUGAACCUCCACCUACAGGCUCUGCCAGCAACCUGCAUCCACCGCGUCCACCUGCAAACAGCUGAAGCGCCUCACUCCACCUGAAACCUCUGCCACUUAUAGCUUCUUCCAGAUCCAACCUCUUCCUCCAGCCCACAGUAACCAUCUGCUCCUCCAGUCACUGCCUGCAACCUAUGGCAGUAACCAUCAACCCCUAGCCUCCACCUGCAGUUUCUGGCAUACAGCAGUUCUUUUACCCUCCUUCAGCCACCAGCAGUAAACUGUAGCAUCAGCCUCCACCUGCAUUUCCUGCCAGACAUAUGAAGCAAACAGAUGACAACCAGAUACAGCUCCACCUCCCACCUACAGUCCACCUACACAAGCUGCAGCCCCAACUUCAUCAGCAAACAUCAGCUGGUGGAUCAGUGGUGUUCCUAAAGGCGUCAUCAGACAGUCCCUGGGUCAGGUGCCAAUCACGGUGAAGUCCAACCUGUGUAACCUGCAUGGCAUGUCCCCCAAAGAGCUCAUAGAACACAAUGAAGAAGCUGAGGAAACUAUAUCCAGAGCUAAGUCAAGUGGAUGUGACCAUUUCCACUGUCUUCACCUUGAACAGCAGCAAUGAAUCCUCAUUUGCUUCUCCCUCUUCACUGUAUUCCUCCUCAUCCUCCACUUUAAUCACAACUGCUGCUUCUCUCCAAAAACUCUUCACGUGGAUCCUUAUACUCUCCGGUUUAAGCCCCCCCAACAUGUCCCUGACCUUUGACCUCUCUAUUGCAGGGAGGAUAGAGAGAACAGAACUCCGUUAAGAGGAUCAAUUAAGUAUCAGCCUCAUUAUUCUGUUCUCAACUCAACUUACUUGAUGAAAAGCAAGACUGUAGUUAUAAAGUGUUGUCAGCAAGUGUGUGGAUUGUAUUUGUGAACUGUUGAAAUAAAAGUGGAGCAGACUGUACAAAGUGUGUUUUUAAAUUAUUA